UGCAGUUCUGCCCCUUGACUGACUACUGGCUCCUCUUGUCCUGACAACCUAUUGUCCUCCUUCCAGGCAUGACUGUAACAUUCCUUUCUCUGUCUGCCCGAGUGUCAGCCGCUCUCAUCUGGGAGUUUUUGGGCGCCCUACAUCUUCCUGCUGCCCACCUUUGCCCCCCUCUUCUUCCCAGGCGGUGGCUGCUGGGCACGAGUCUGGACCCCUGAGCGUCGCCAAGUCCCAGGAAGUGUGCAGCCUGCUCUCUCCUCACAGAAGCCUGCCAGCCACGAGUUGAGGGGCAGAGGCUGCCUCCUGGAUUUGAGGCCUCAGCACUGCAGGCUAGCAAUGAACUCAGUAUUCACCUGGUCUCUUGGAGCCGUAAGUGCCCCACAGGUCAGUGCUUGUCUGUCAGGCCCUCCUGCUGGGGGCCACCAUCCACCCCCUCAUACCUGGGCCGAGCAGUCCCCAAGGUGAUGCUGCCCUGGCAUCCAGCACUCUGCCCGUGAGAGAGGGCUCCUUCACAUUCGUGUCAGUCCC
rnacentral:lncRNA from 1 species